UUUUUUACCAAACUUGCACACAACUUGUAUCACCAUAAGAUCUCGGUUCCUUUCUUGAACUGGCCAGAUCCCAUUAUGGGUUCCAGAGUUAUGGCCCCUGAAAGGGCCAAAAUUAGCUAUUUUGACCUUGUCUGCAUAAUAGCAGCUUCAUUUAUGAUUUGAUUUUAACCAAACUUGCACACAACUUGUAUCACCACAAGAUCUUCCUUCCUUUCUUCCACUGGCCAGAUUCCAUCAUGGGUUCCAGAGUUAUGGCCCAUUAAAGGUCCAAAAUUGGCUAUUUUGGCUUUUGCAGCCAUAUAAAGACUUCAUUUAUGGUUUUAUUUGAUACAAACUUCCAAAAUAUCUUCAACAACAAUAAAUCUUGGAUUCCAUGACAAAUCAGAUCCAAUCAUAGGUUCCAGUUAUUUUAUAUCUGAUUACCUCCCCUGAUUGUAAUCAAAAUGGAUUUAUAUCAGUAAGUACUUACAGGACUUAUUUGAAAUUUCAUUAUUGUUAUUAGUUGGACUGAGACAAUCAGGGUAGAUAACUAUGGACUGAUUUUAUGUCAAAUUACCUCCCUUUAUUUCAAAUUAAAAUUGUUAUAUCUCCAUAACUAAUGAAGAUACUGAUCUGAAAUUUCAUUUAUGUCAACAGAUUUAUUUGGUAGAUCCUUCUUUUGUCCACUUACAAUAUAUUUUUUUUUUUAUUACUUCCCUUUUACGUUACUAUAAAUAACUUAUUUUUAGUAACUUUUUUUAUUAUUGGCCGUAGGGAAAACACGAGACCAGUUGUCUGUGGUACAACAUGGAUGGUACCUCCAAUUUUUAGGUGUAUUUUAACAUAUCUAUACCUUGUAAGAUUUUUUUUUUUUUGGUUAAAUUUCUUCCCUUUGUUGUUCCUGUCCUUUGGACUUAGAUAUUUUUCUGAGGACCUUCUUGUCCUCAAGUGCAAUGAUAACAGGUGAGCGAUAUAGGGCCAUCAUGGCCCUCUUGUUUAAAGAUAUAAAUAGAUCUUAGCUAUAUUUAGACUAAAGUUUAUUUCAGUAUAACAGCAUCUAGGGAACCCUUACAUACAGUCAAAUAUUCUUGAAAUUGCAAGGAAAUAUAAUGCAUUUUUCAAGUGCUUGCUGUUUCUUACCUUGUGCAUACUUGAUAUAGGUCAUUAAUUGUCAGUGUCUGCAGCUAUCAUUAUACUGACAUUUGAAGUUUUUUUUUCUAAAUUCAUACAUUUUCCUUCAACUAUUUUAUUGAUAAUUACUUCCCUUUAUGUUUUAGCAAUAAUUUCUCAGAUUGCAUUUAAUUAACUCCCUUUACUUAACAUAAAAAAUUAUCUUGUGUAAUGAUUAUUUUGUUUAUUUUACUUUCAGUGUCUGAUACAUGUAGUUGCAGUCUGUCUUUGGAAGCUGUUGAAGUAACAAGAAAGAGGCUACAUUGACAUCCUGGUAUACUUUGUUAUAUAUGAAGUUUAUUGAUGGCAUUCAUGAUAUCAUUAUAGAGUACCCUACAUUGAUUUUCUGACAGUCAUGUGUUAUUACAUUUGAACUGGGACUGUUUCAUAAUCAGUUUUGGUAGGGAGAAGUUUGAGUAUGUACAGUUGUUUGACCUGUCUUACCAUGUGGCAGUCCCAGAAGAUGUUACCAUUAUGAAUAAAUGCAGGGGAACUUGAAGACAGUGGUUAGUGCAGAAGGGACAUAAAAGUAAUGUGAAAGUAACAGAUAUAAAUAAGAAGUGCUACAAGUGUGUUGUCAUGUGAAAAGGACUUUACCCCAACUGUGCUGCAUGAUGUAUAUUCAAGAGUGAUACAGCCAUGCACCAUCUGUAAACUGAGAUGGACCCACACAUGAAAUAUGUUGACUUUUCUAUGUAUUAUCAUCUGUACAGAAUGUGUUUAUGACAAGACUGUAUACAUAUAUUGUUAAAUCAUUUUUUAUUUCCAUUAUGGCAUGCAUGUAAAAAGAAAGCAUUAACUAAACAAUUGCAUUCAUAGAAAUGUUAAAAUGUGAUCAAUCUAAUUUAAAGAAUAACCUUUAAUUGGACUUGCAAAGUUUUAUAUUAUUUUUGGUGGAAAUUGACCCAGUCAUUCAGCAACUUAUACCGUCUGUGAGUCAUUUCUUGUAUGUUAUAGUUUUCUUAAUAAUGCAUAAAAUAUCAAAAUAAUGGUUAGAUGAACUUGUACAUUAAUGUUAAAGAAGUUCAACAUUUUACCAUAACUUAAUUAAUAUUCUAUUAACCAGAUUUGUCACAUAUUUUCAUAUAAACAUUUGUAUAAUACAGUCUAAUCUAAUCUAGAAAUGAUGUUCCACAAUUUUUUAGUUAUACUUUAUUUUGUUUUGAUGUCUCAACAUAUAAUUACUAACAUCAACAAAACUUAGAUAUUUUACAAUUUGGUUGGUAUAAAUGGUUGUUUUGUUGAUAUGUUUUAUUUAUUUCCAUCCAGGGGAAAAAAGAAAUAUACAUUUUAAAAUAUCUCAUCAUUCCAGAUAAGUACACUACAUAAUCAAGAUAAAAGAAAUGAGAAAAAUUAUGUUGGUGGAAUUUUAUUUUAAAAAAUUGAUAUACAGUCUUUGUAGCAUUUACUUCUUUAGAUAUGUUGGACUGAAAUGGGAAUAACAACAUACUUAAAAAUUUUGUAGUCAUAAGUUAAUAUGGGAAUUAUUAACUUGAAAUAGAUUUUAUCUCACUGUUGUGCCAUCUGAGCUUUAAUAUUUUUCAACAUUGUCAUUGGCAACAAGGCUAAACAUUAUUUCUUAUGUAUACCUUGCAUUCAUGUGUGAUAAAUGAUUUUAUGGUAUUCUUUAACAUGAUAUAUGCUUUUCAUCUUACCAUGGAUUAAAAAAAUAUAUAUUUAUUUGUCUGAAAAUUAAGGUAAAAAUACUGACUGAUUAAAUUGCAAUAUAAAAAAGCUUAUAUGAGAUAAAGGGAGGUAAUUCCAUAAAAAAAUAUGUAGAAUGUAGAUGAUAAAUAUAAUGAAGGGAGAUAAUAAAAUAUUGUGAAGUUAA